UACGUAGGUGGCGAGCGUUGUCCGGAUUUACUGGGCGUAAAGCGCGCGCAGGCGGCGAUCUACGUCUGGGGUGAAAGCCCGGAGCUCAACUCCGGGACUGCCUUGGAUACGGGAUCGCUUGAGAAUUGGAGAGGCAAGGGGAAUUCCACGUGUAGCGGUGAAAUGCGUAGAUAUCUGGAGGAACAUCGGUGGCGAAGGCGGCAUCCUGGACCGGUAUUGACGCUGAGGCGCGAAAGCCAGGGGAGCAAACGGG
rnacentral:rRNA from 1 species